CUAAAAUCGACACACUUCUUUAUCUUUCUAUUACUUGUAUCCAACAUCUUUACUCCUAUAAUCUCCUUUGGAUCGACCAUAGACCAAGAACGAGAAGAGUUCUAUGAGGAAUUGUUGUUGAGGCCUGAUCGGAAAGUCUUGGCGCAUUUCCACUUCCAAAGCACAGCUCCUUCCUCAAAUUCCAAUGGCCGCCACCAUCACCUCUUCCCCAAAGCCAUUUCUCAGCUGGUACAGAAAUUUCAGAUUAAGGAAAUGGAAUUGUCUUUCACACAAGGUCGUUGGAACUAUGAACUGUGGGGUGGAUUUGACCCCAUAUCGAGCAGCAAUGCUAAGCCUCCUGGAGUUGAGCUGUGGGCCGUCUUUGAUGUCCC
rnacentral:misc_RNA from 1 species